rnacentral:rRNA from 1 species
UUAAUUUCAAAGGUGAAUUCGAUUGUAAGCUACGACGAGCAUGCAGAGUUCAUAAUCAGGCGAAGAUAGGGCAGCAUCGAUACGUUCGUAAUUCUAUCUAUAAACUAUGCGACUAGAUUGGAUGGGCUCACCACCAAUUCAGUACUAUGGAGAAAUCAAAGUAUUGGAUUCUGGGGGGAGUAGUCGCAAGACUGAACCUUAAAGAAUUGACGAAGGCACCACCAGGAGUGGAGCCUGGGGCGUAAUUUGACUCAACACGGGAACUACCAGUACAGAAAAUAGAAAAGGAUGGACAGAUGAUAGCUCUUCUGUCUUGGGUGGUGUGUGUGUUGGCCGUUCUGUGGUGGAGUGAUUUGUCUGGUAAAUCCGAUAACGAACGAGACCUUAACCUGCUAACUAGAUUCGAUCAUCUUAUGGUCGUUAUCAUCUUAGAGGGACUAUGUAACAUAAAUACAAGAGAAAAAUAAAGCAAUAACAGGUCAGUGAUGCCCUUAUAUGUCCUGGGCUGCACGCGUGCUACACUGAUGUAUACAACAAGUGCCUAGUCAGACAUGGCAUGGCAAUCUCGAAUAUGCAUCGUGAUGGGGAUAGAUCUUUGCAAUUAUAGAUCUUGAACGAGGAAUUCCUAGUAAGUGCAAGUCAUCAUCUUGCAUUGUAUUAUGUCCCUGCCCUUUGGAGAAGGAGCACCGUCGCUCCUACCGAUACCGGGUGAUCCGGUGAACCUGUUGGACCCUUUGGGAAAAAUAAGUAAAUCAUAUCACCUUUGAAGGAGAAGUCGUAACAAGUAAACCACCCCGGGCCGGUCGG